ACGCUGGCGGCGUGCCUAAUACAUGCAAGUCGAACGGUAACCCUUGGAUUCGUCUGAGGGGGAGAGUGGCGAACUGGUGAGUAACACGUAUGUGACCUGCCUCGAAGACGGGGAUAACCAUCGGAAACGGUGGCUAAUACCCGAUACAUUCGGCAAUUCAGUUUGUCGAGUAAAGCUCCGGCGCUUCGAGAUGGACCUGCGGCCUAUCAGCUAGUUGGUAGGGUAAUGGCCUACCAAGGCGAAGACGGGUAGGGGGCGUGAGAGCGUGGUCCCCCACACUGGCACUGAGAUACGGGCCAGACUCCUGCGGGAGGCAGCAGUCGGGGAUAUUGCACAAUCAGCGAAAGCUGGAUGCAGCGACGCCGCGUGGGCGAUGAAGGCCUUCGGGUUGUAAAGCCCUUUUAUGGGGGAAGAGAAAAGGGACGGUACCCCAAGAAUAAGUCCCGGCUAACUACGUGCCAGCAGCCGCGGUAAAACGUAGGGGACAAGCGUUAUCCGGAUUUACUGGGCGUAAAGAGCGUUGAGGCGGUUCCGUAAGUUGGGCGUAAAGCCCCGGGCUCAAUCGGGGAGGUCGUUCAAUACUGCGGAACUUGAGGGCAGCAGAGGGAGGCGGAAUCCCGGUGUACGGUGAAUGCGUAGAUAUCGGGAGGAACACCAGUGGCGAAGGCGGACUCCAUGGGACUGGCUCACUGAACCGGCUGGAAGGCGAAACGCUAGGGGAGCGAACGGGAUUAGAAACCC
rnacentral:rRNA from 1 species